rnacentral:lncRNA from 1 species
UUUUAGGUUAUUGGGCUUGGUAAUUUGAGCCUGUUUUAUUUAUUUUGGUUUUGGUUUAAAUUUGUUUUUUGGUUUUAUUAUUUGUAUAUGGGCUGGGCAAAAUUGGGUAUUACAGUUGCCCCUCUUUGCUCGUUGUCGUGUAAUGGGAACGGAGCAAAGACUUUAAAAUGACCAAUUUUUCCCGGUCGUGCUGGACCUUGGUGUUCUUCUACUUCAAGUAGCCUCGUUCCUUCCUACUUCAUCUUCAGAGGUAUAGGAACUAGUGCUUCAAUCCACUCCACUGCAAUGUCGGGGAGAUUGAAUUCAUACGUUGUAGCUCCUCAAAAGAACAAAAUUUGCUAUCUUUAAUCUGUUCCACUGCAACUUCAGGGAGAUAAGACUUAUAGCUUCAACUUGUUCUGCUACAACUUAAGGGUAAAUCUGAUGUGAUCUGCUCUACUGCAACUUCAGAGAGAUGAGAUCUGCGGUUUUAAUCCAUUCCAUUGCAACUUCAAGGAGAUGGGAUUGGCUACUUUUGUCUGCUCCACUGCAACUUCAGGGAGAUAAGACUCGUAUCUUCGAUCUACUUCACCACCAGUAUGGGAAGACAAGAUCUGCAUUUUUCGAUCUACUUCACGCCAAUACAUGAAGACAAUAUCUGCUUUCUUCGACCGAUUCCACUGCCGACCGGGGGAAUAGAAUUACUGGCUUCAAUAUACUCCACUGCAACCUCAGGGAGGUAAAAUUUGCCAUCUUUGAUCUGUUCCACUACUGCUUAGGGAGACAAGAUCUGUAAUCUCCAAUCUAUUCCACUGUCGCCUAGGGAGAUAGAAUUACUGGCUUCAAUGUACUCCACUGUAACCUCAGGGAGGUAAAAUCUGUCAUAUUUGAUCUGCUCCUCUACUGCUUAGGGAGAUAAGACCUGUAAUCUUCAAUCUAUUCCACUGCUACCCAGGGAAGUAGAAUUUCUGGCUUCAAUAUACUCCACUGUAACCUCAGGGAGGUAAAAUUCACCACCUUUGAUCUGCUCCACUACUGCUUGAGGAGACAAGAUCUGAAAUCUUCAAUCUAUUCCACUGCUGUCCAGGGAAGUAAAAUUACUGGCUUCAAUGUACUCCACUGUAACCACAGGGAGGUAAAAUCCGCCAUCUUUGAUCUGCUCCACUACUGCUUAGGGAGACAAUAUCUGAAAUCUUUAAUCUAUUCCACUGCUGUCCAGGGAAGUAGAAUUAUUGGCUUCAAUGUACUCCACUGUAACCACAGGGAGGUAAAAUCCGCCAUCUUUGAUCUGCUCCACUACUGCCUAGGGAGACAAUAUCUGAAAUCUCCAAUCUAUUCCACUGUUGCCCCAGGGAAGUAGAAUUACUGGCUUCAAUGUACUCCACUGUAACCUCAGAGAGGUAAAAUCUGCCAUCUUCGAUCUGCUCCACUACUGCUUAGGGAGAGAAGAUCUGAAAUCUUUAAUCUAUUCCACUGUUGCCCCAGGGAAGUAGAAUUACUGGCUUCAAUAUACUCCACUGUAACCACAGGGAGGUAAAAUCUGCCAUCUUUGAUCUGCUCUACUACUGCUUGGGGAGACAAGAUCUGAAGUCUUCAAUCUAUUUCGCUGCUGCCCAGGGAAGUAAAAUUACUGGCUUCAAUGUACUCCACUGUAACCACAGGGAGGUAAAAUUCACCAUCUUUGAUCUGCCCCACUACUGCUUGGGGAGACAAGAUCUAAAAUCCUCAAUCUAUUCCACUACUGUCCAAGGAAGUAGAAUUACUGGCUUCAAUGUACUCCACUGUAACCAUAGGAAGGUAAAAUCUGUCAUCUUUGAUCUGCCCCACUACUGCUUAGGGAGACAAGAUCUGAAAUCUUCAAUCUAUUCCGCUGCUGUCCAGGGAAGUAGAAUUACUGGCUUCAAUGUACUCCACUGUAACCACGAGGAGGUAAAAUUCGCCAUCUUCGAUCUGCUUCGCUGUCUAUGCAGGAAGGUAAGAUCUAAAAUCUUCAAUCUAUUCCACUGCUACCCAGGGAAGUAGAAUUAUUGGCUUCAAUGUACUCCACUGUAACCACAGGAAGGUAAAAUCUGUCAUCUUUGAUCUGCCCCACUACUGCUUAGGAAGAUAAGAUCUAAAAUCUUCAAUCUAUUCCACUGUUGCCCAGGGAAGUAGAAUUAUUGGCUUCAAUGUACUCCACUGUAACCACAGGGAGGUAAAAUCUGCCAUCUUUGAUCUGCCCCACUACUGCUCAGGGGGACAAGAUCUGCUAUCUUCAACCUGCUCUACUGUCUCCGAGGGAGGCGAGGUUGGUGUCUUCGAUCUGCUUCACUUUCGAUGCAGGAAGGUAAGAUCUGUUAUCAUCACUGAUCUGGUCUCUGGGGAACAUGACCUGUAUAAUGAACUUUAUGAACCUAAUUAUGCCUAGUGAUUAAGAUGUCAUGAUUAGAAUGAAUCAAAUGCUCCUAACUAGAUAUGUAUGAAUGACAUUUGAAUGAAUGCAGAAUGUCAUUUUUCGAGAAUGAUUCCUCCUUGUCACUUAGGUUAUCAUUACUCAGAGUUUAUUUAAAGUUUCAUCGCUAAUGUGCUAUAACGCCUGCUUGCUCGGCUGGUGUCUCCAAAGAAACACUUGACCAGAUUGCCCCCACUGUAAACCUCCAAGUUUGAUCCACUGGGAUGCAAAAUUUGUAUCAUCUUUUCACUAUAACCCAAGGGUUGAAAAACAUGACUUCUCGAUAUUCUCUUAUCGCUAUGUGAAGCACUUUGGCCCUCUAUACCAUUCUCAGGGUGUCAUACCAAAUACCUAUGCACAAAUGAAUGUUUUUUCCUUCGAGGAAACAUCUUCUUAUUGUAAGGUGAUCAUUGUUUGUUUGCUCAUUGACGCUUUGUCACCAACACGAAAUCUUGUCAUUUUGUUUUCGACAAUAAAAUUUAAAGGGAUAGUCUUAAUUUAGACUCUUCCUUGGUGCGUUCUAAACAAUAGUCCUGUUUCAGGUUCCUGUAUUAUUUAGAAACUUCUAGAGUAAUAUUCAAAACUUCCCUUGUGAAAGUUUUAUUGGCCCAUUAAUUAUUAUUCUAAUGCAACACACUUGCAAAGAGAACAAAAUGAUGGAUAAAAUUGAAUUGGUUCUGAGCAUAGCUCGAAAUGAAAUAAAUUAUCAAAGAUAAUAAAGAUGGAUAACAAAGACAUUGAUUUAGGAAUGCGUAUCUUGGAAAUGAAUAAAGUGUUCCAAGAAUAACAAAAAUGGUAUACAGGUUAGGUGCCCCAGAUAUCACAGAUUGAACUUUGCUGUACAGACUUUCUGAAGACCAUUCUGAGUUUAACAUGUGUUUAGGAGUACUUUGUCGAUGCCCCAAGAUGUCGCCUACCCUUUCCUGUUGAUUCAUGUAUAGCAAGACCACUGCAUGCCCCCAUUCUGAUCAGUAUUUGAGCUGCUCUGAAAAUUUCAAACGCCAUUUUGAUCAACAUUUGAGCCGCCCUUUUUUGGGUUUUCAACUCAAAUCCCCUUUGGUCUAAGGCACCCUUUACGGGUUUUCACCUUAGCCUCUUCAUUUUUACUUUUUCAUUUUUACUUUUCAUCUUUUCAUUUUUUCACAUCACUUCUUUUUCUUUUUUCUUUUUUUUUAGACUCAAACUUCCCUUUGCGGGUUUUUACCUUGGUCCUCUCCUUCUUUAGGUGGAGAAUUUCCUGACUGAGUCUGAGUUUACAGGACUUUACAGGUUUAUCAUCCAUCUCGCUCAAAAUCAAAGCUCCUUUGGAAAAAAACCUUCUCUAUAAUCAUAAGGUUCCACUCAAUUUGGCAUCUGUUUCCCUCCAUAAUAUUUUUUGUAGAUGGAGGAUCUUCAACAUUUGGUCACCCUCGUGGAAUUCUCUAGGAUGAACCUUUUGUUAUAGGCUCGCAUCAUUCAUUUCUGGCACAUCUGACCGUGAUGAAUAGCUUUUAGCCUUCUUCCUUCUAUCAAGUUCAAUUGAUCACAUUGCGAUCGGAUUUAUUCUGCUUCAUCCAACUUGCUCAGCCAAUACUCGGAGAGAAAGAAUUUCAACUUCAAUAGAAAAAAUCGUGAUGAACUAAAGAGAGACGCACUGCUCCGGUAGAGUUUUCACUGCAUCAUUCAUGAUAUUAAUCCUGAACAUACUGUAAAUUUCUAAUAUCGUGCUGUUGUUCAGAUUGUAAUGACAGUACUUAACCUAGAAAUAUCCUGGUAUGACCAUGCGUAGACAUCUUUGAAUUCUUGAAGUAACUCAGCUUUGUCUUUGAAGUCAUAUUAAUUCCAAUCUUCACCAAGCUCACAACUUUUAAUGAUUCUUUGUGAGGUAGGAUCUGUCUAUCCUCUACCAUCCUCAAUAAGUCUGGAGAUAAGCUACAAUCCAUGUCACUUUCAAAGCUGUAAGAUCCCUAUAAACACAUGUCUCACCCAAAAGGAGAUUCUGAGUCUGUAGCAGCGUCACUCAUGUCAUUGAUAUCCAAGGACCUAUUGUAGGUGCUAAAGGAUAUACAAAGAAUAUAUGAAUAAUAUGAAUGAAUGAAUGAAUGGUUUGGCAGAAAAAAUCUGAAGGAAUGAAAAAAAAUCGUAAAAAAUGAAAGAACAUUUGCUCAAAGAUGAUUGCAAUAAUGUAUUCAUUAAAAAAAUAAUAUUCAGACGUGAGCCUAUUUCACAAAGAAAUUCUUAUUGCUUCUAGGCUGAAAGCAACAAGUGUGUUCUGAACAUUACUCUAACAGACUCUAAAUACUUUAGGGGUUUCCUCUACAGUCCCAUUAUUUAGAACACCUCUAAGGCGAAAUCUAACAAGGAUUCAUUUAAAUGUGUAUGCAUAUAUGGCAUCGAUGUGCAAAUUUGUCACCACUUCUUCAUACAUUGCAGUCCCUCAAUCCUCAAUCAUGAUUGGGUAACGGAUUUUCUGCACUUGAUGAGUCACCCAACUUGACAACACCCAUGUUGAUGAGUUUUUCAACUAGCUUUUUGAAGGUAAUACAAUUCUCAAUUGAGUGCCCUGUAAUUCCCGCAUAGUAGUCACAUUGUGCGUUCGCAUCAUACCACUUGGGAUACGGAGGUUGUGGGGGUUUUAAGUAGGAAGGGGAAACAACGUGCGCAUCAAAUAAGCUUUGGUACAGCUCCUUAUACGAUAUCGGAAUUGGCGUGAACUGGAGCUUCUCAGUACCUAGUUUCACUCCAGAUUCCUGUCUCAUUGAACUUUGUUGACUAGUAACCCCCUUUCCUGGAUGACUUACAGUAACUGACUUCGAGUAACCCUUGUUGUACAUGCUCGUGUUGUUCACCUCGCUCUCAUUCUUCCUCGAGGCUGAUCUUCUGUUACCCUCUCCCACGUCGAUCUUCCCACUUCUGAUGGCAUUCUAAAUCAUUUCACUAUUCAUGACUAUGUCAAGGAAGCUUUUUGUGGCACUUCCUAACAUAUGUGUAAUGAAUGGUGCCUUCAGGGUGUUAAUGAACAACAUAGUCAUUUCCUUUUCCAAAAGCGGUGGCUGAACUUGGACCGCGACCUCCCUCCAUCUCUGUGCGUACUGCUUAAAGCUUUCACUCAGCUUCUUCUCUAUUUUUUGAAGGGUGAUUCGAUCAGGAGCCAUGUCCGUCACAUGACUAUACUGUUUCAUGAAUGCUUGGGCCAAAUCCCUCCAUGAACCAAUCGUGGUACGACUCAGUUGAUUGUACCACUUAGAUGCUGCCCCUGCAAGACUAUCUUGGAAACAAUGUAUCAAGAGUUGGUCGUUGUUAACAUAUCCCGUCAUUCGCUUGCAGAACAUGGUGAUGUGAGCUUCUGGGCAACUUGUCCAAUUGUACUUUUCAAAUUCAGGCAUCUUAAACUUAUGAGGAAGUACUAAAUCUGGUACUAAACUCAGCUCUUUUGCGUCAAUGCCUCGAUAACUCUCAGUGACCUCCAUCGCCUUAAACUUCUCCUCGAGCCACCUACACAUUUCCUCUAACUGUUUCGGUAACUUCUCCUUCAUUCUUUCCUUCUCAACUACUUCAUCAAAGUCAGGAAUGGCAGAGUUAAUAGGAUUAUUUUCAGGAUUAGAACCCGGCCCAGUUUGGAGGUUCGAAAUACCAACCCGAAACUGCUGAGGCAUAAUAGUGACAGUAGAUUUGCGCGGGUAUUCAGCUUGGGCUCGCAUAUGUGGAGGGGUGAAACCUGGAAGGUAAAGAAUUUCAUCAUCAUUUCCCUCAUCGACAUUUGCCAUGGGGCCCUUUCCUUUAUCACUUCCCUUAGUUAUCAGUUGGGUUAACUUUGCCACUAUAUCUUCUUGGGAUUCUCGCAUCUUCUCAGACAUCUCUUGUUUCAUCUUAUCUAACCGCUCCUGCAUUUGUAGCUGAAGCCGGUCUUGCAUCUCCUUCUGGUACUGUUCGAGCUUUUCUAAUCUCUGAUCCAUAUCUUUUGUCUUUGCUCGAGUGUCGUAUCGGUGUCGGGUUGGUUGGUUAGUUUCCAGGUUAACUGAGCAAUAAUUUUAAUUAAUUAGGAUCAAUUAAAGGUUUUUAAUGCAUAUGAUGCAAUGCAUGAGAUGAAUGCAUAAAGAGACGUUAAUUCUAAUUCAAUUCCAUUUAGAAAACUUUACUAGAGGAAAAUUUUCUUUACAUAAAGCGGAUAUAUAUACGGCUUUGCCCUCAUACUCCAAACAAAGACAUCUACUCAUUCUUCAUCCGGAUGUUAAGAUAAACCUCGUGAACUUCCAAAGGAUGUCACUGCUAGCUCCUUCUGCUUGAUUCUGGUCGCAAUCCGUUGUCUGCCUAUCCUCGUAAUGCUCAUUAGCUUCUUUAAGAAAUUUGGAAUGUUGAAAGCUCUUAGACAAAUCAUCUUGAAUCCUCGGGCCCCAAAGUAAAGUCACGAAUUCUUCCAUUGCCCUUCUUGUAUUUCUUGGAAUAUAUUCAAGAUGCCGUACUAUUUUUCAUUUUAUCAAGAAACCCGUUUUCUUAUGAUAGGCUUUCUAAACUAGUAAUCAAACUUGAAUCAACAUCUCUUUUCUACAAUGCAAAUGCAAUACAAUCAUAACCAAAACAAAACAAAACGGGUUAGUAUCGGGUAUAAACAUUAAAUCCAAUACAAUCAAGAAAUAAUAAAAACUCCUAGUCAGGUAUCUACUAAGGUUUAGAAUAAUUCUACCUAGGGUAAGUUCCUAAGGUUCACUAUAUGCGGUUUGGCUUCUAAGGUAAAGGUACCCAAACCAGCAGAUUCCUCGAUCUUCACCCAUUAUAGGCUCAUAUGGAUCGAGUUCAGUUCAGGGGAAUACAUUUCCCUAUGGCUGCACGGAGAUGAAAAUCUCACGAAGACAUAGGUACGGAUGUAUCCCGGAAGCGGUCCACUACCCUGCACGGAGAUGAAAACCUCACGAAGGACUAGUUUCUCACUCCCACUUAAAGGGUGAAAUGCAAAUGCAAAGUUGCCAAAAUACCAUGAUAAAACAUCAAUGAGUGCGAAGGGAACUCAUGAAUUUUUUUAAAAACUUUUGAUUUUCGACACAAAGACAAAUAUGAUCAGUUUAUGGCUCGACUCUCUAAUUUCCCCAGCGAAGUCGCUAAGCUGUCGAAACUGUUUUUUGAAAACAAAAAUUUUAGCUGUCGACUUUUAAAAAAAACAAAAACUGGAGUCGCCACCGAUCCUUUAUUAAGGUGAGAUCGGUCCACCUUAAAAAUAAUUUUGGUCUGCGAAAUUUUUGAAAAUAGGUUCGGGAGUCAGUUACGCACGAAGAAGGAUUAGCACCCUCGCAACGCCCAAAAUUGGUACCAAAUUGAUUUUUUUAAUGCCUCGGUGUCGAAAAUUUGAAAAGAUUUUAAAAAGGGAACUUUUUAUUUCAUGAAUGAAUCAAAAUAAUAAGACAUUCUUAUUUCAAAGAAAUAAAACACCACACCCAGUAAGUUAGGGCACAAUGUUUUUAAAUCUUCAAAAUACCCGAAUAUUGCCUUUUGUUUCUGAAAAUUCUUAUUUCGAGAAGUCAAAAUAUUAGGACCAGUAAGUUAGGACCCAACAUUUUAAAUCCUCGAGAAUAAGCUUUAUUUGAAAUUUGAGAAUUUAUUGCAAAACGAAUACUUGGCUUUCUAAAUUCAUCGAAAAAUAAUCGCGAUCCAGUAAGUUAGGACACGAUCUUCCUCGAGAAUCACGAAUGCCAAAUAUUUUGAAAAUUUAUAAAAUAUGAUGAUUUUAAUGCUUUGAUGAAAUCAAAAUAUAUAAAAAACAUGAUAAAAUGUUAAUGCAUAUAUAAAACACAUAUGUAUACAUGCAAAUAGAAGGAAUGAAAUAUAUCCAAUAAAACAAACAAAAAAAAACAUGUAUUAAAAAUAAAACAAAAGUAAAAAAAAAUGCAUAUGUAUAUAUUUACAAAGAGAAGAAAAAAGGUAUACGUAUAAAAUAAUAAAAUAUAUAAAUAAAAUAAUAAAAUGAUUCAAAAGUAUGAAAAAAAUGUAUAUAUAUAUUUAUAAAAAUGCGUAUCCUGAAUCACAAAAUAUAGGAAACACAUGUGUAUUUAAAAAUGUGUAUAUAUACAUUUAAAUAUAUAUUUAAAAAAAUGAAAAAAAAACAAAUAAAAAACCUCCUGUAUGUAUAUAUAUUGUAAAAAAAAAUGAAACUAAAAUGUGUAAAUAUACAUACCUAUUAAAAAUGUUUGCAUGUACAAAAUGUUUGCAUGCAUUUUAUAAGCGUUAAAAAAAAUAAAUAUAUAUAUUAUAAAAUGCAUAUAAAUAAUAUAAUAAACGAUGCAAUAAUAGUGAUAAAAAAUAAAUGAAAUUAAAAUCAGACAGAGGACUGAUUUGCAACACACGAGUUACAGGAGGGGCCAAAAUAGAAAUAAUCUGCCCCUCUAAAACACUGCGCCGUAAUAGGGACUUAUUUGAAACAAAAAUAAAACCCGUGGCCAAAAUCAAAAUAAAUAAAAAGUUGAUUUAAACAUGCUUCUAAAAAUCAAGGGACCAAACGCGAAAAUGUACCAUUUAGGCCCAUGAUGCGCGGAUCCUCCCCGGGUCGGGUCACCGCGCGGGUAUAGCCCUAUACGGCGCCGUUUUGGGGCCACAGAAACAGGCCCUAAACGACGCCGUUUUGCAAUCGUUACAAAAUCCGAAAUUUCCCAAAAACAACUCAUUUUCCCUUUUUUUUUUGCACCAAACAGCAGAGAAAUCCUCUGCUAGGGUUUUCAUACCCAAACCCCCACUUAAUGCCGCCGUUCAUGCCCCCAAGCCUCCUUCAAACUCCGAUUGUGACGGAGCAAUGAAGGUUCAACGGCGCCGAUAUGGGGUAAAACUUUUGCCUCUUUGUUUCUUUUCUUUCUUAAACAACCAGUAAAUAUUUAACCAAAAGAAAACAAUCGUAAAAAAUGGAAAAUAAAAUAACGUACACAAACAGUGGUAAAUCACCUUCUGUUUUUUAUUCUAAUCUCCCCCCCUUUUACAAACAAUAUUGGCCGUUUUAUAGCCCGAGAACAACUUAUUUCCCUUUUUCCCGUUGUUUUACAUUGUUUGGACUCUUUGAAUCCGUUUUGCAAGUGAUCGUGGGAGCACGUGCGAGGAAGGCGCGCAAGGGCCGGCGAUGAAGGUGGCUGCUGCUAGUUUUUCUGCUUAGGUUUUUCUUGAUUUAAUUUUGUGUUGGGCUAGGGUUAGUUUUUAGGUUAUUGGGCUUGGUAAUUUGGGCCUGUUUUAUUUAUUUUGGUUUUGGUUUAAAUUUGUUUUUAGGUUUUAUUAUUUGUAUAUGGGCUGGGCAAAAUUGGGUAUUACAGGGAGUAUUUUUUUUUUAUUUACUUGAUGGUAUACAUCAAGAAGGACAUAGAUCAACAGUUUCCAAUCAGUUCUCUCGUUGAUAACUUCGAUUUAAUAAAAAAAUCAAAGUUUGCAACUUAAAA